rnacentral:rRNA from 1 species
AACGCGAAGAACCUUACCUGGGCUCGAAGCGCAGUGGACCGGGGUGGAAACAUCCCUUUCUCGCAAGAGACUGCUGCGGAGGUGCUGCAUGGCUGUCGUCAGCUCGUGUCGUGAGAUGUUGGGUUAAGUCCCGCAACGAGCGCAACCCUUAUCCCUAGUUGCUAACAGGUUAAGCUGAGCACUCUAGUGAAACCGCCCCGGAUAACGGGGAGGAAGGUGGGGAUGACGUCAAGUCCUCAUGGCCUUUAUGUCCAGGGCUACACACGUGCUACAAUGGUCGGUACAAACCGUCGCAAACCCGCGAGGGGGAGCUAAUCGGAAAAAGCUGACCCCAGUUCGGAUUGUAGUCUGCAACUCGACUACAUGAAGCUGGAAUCGCUAGUAAUCGCGGAUCAGCACGCCGCGGUGAAUACGUUCCCGGGCCUUGUACACACCGACGCGUA